rnacentral:rRNA from 1 species
UACGAAGGGGGCUAGCGUUGCUCGGAAUCACUGGGCGUAAAGGGUGCGUAGGCGGGUCUUUUAAGUCAGGGGUGAAAUCCUGGAGCUCAACUCCAGAACUGCCUUUGAUACUGAAGAUCUUGAGUUCGGGAGAGGUGAGUGGAACUGCGAGUGUAGAGGCGAAAUUCGUAGAUAUUCGCAAGAACACCAGUGGCGAAGGCGGCUCACUGGCCCGAUACUGACGCUGAGGCACGAAAGCGUGGGGAGCAAACAGG